rnacentral:rRNA from 1 species
UAUGAGCCUUCAUCGCAUGGUGGGGGUUGUAAAGAUUUUUUGGUCUGGGAUGGGCUCGCGGCCUAUCAGCUUGUUGGUGAGGUAAUGGCUCACCAAGGCGUCGACGGGUAGCCGGCCUGAGAGGGUGACCGGCCACACUGGGACUGAGACACGGCCCAGACUCCUACGGGAGGCAGCAGUGGGGAAUAUUGCACAAUGGGCGAAAGCCUGAUGCAGCAACGCCGCGUGAGGGAUGACGGCCUUCGGGUUGUAAACCUCUUUUAGCAGGGAAGAAGCGAAAGUGACGGUACCUGCAGAAAAAGCGCCGGCUAACUACGUGCCAGCAGCCGCGGUAAUACGUAGGGCGCAAGCGUUAUCCGGAAUUAUUGGGCGUAAAGAGCUCGUAGGCGGUUUGUCGCGUCUGCUGUGAAAUCCCGAGGCUCAACCUCGGGCCUGCAGUGGGUACGGGCAGACUAGAGUGCGGUAGGGGAGAUUGGAAUUCCUGGUGUAGCGGUGGAAUGCGCAGAUAUCAGGAGGAACACCGAUGGCGAAGGCAGAUCUCUGGGCCGUAACUGACGCUGAGGAGCGAAAGGGUGGGGAGCAAACAGGCUUAGAUACCCUGGUAGUCCACCCCGUAAACGUUGGGAACUAGUUG